UUCUUCUGCAAUUUCAGUUAACUCCCAACA
rnacentral:piRNA from 1 species